UGGGGUUCUGGCAUGGCGUGCCUGAUGUUGCCCGUGCUCCCGUUCCUAUGCCCAUGAAGUUGUACGGUUGCUUCGAUCAUGUACAAAAUCAUAAAUUGAGACGGGAUUGGGCUAACAUUACUAGUCCUCGGGCAACAACGAAUAGCAGGUGUAAGCCAUCACAGUCUUCUGUUUUCCAAAACAGCAGUCUUGCCUUCGUUGAGUGAGUAUGAGCUCUGGACAGCGAUGCCCCGACCAAGCCCAUGAUGGCCAGACAGUACAAUAAUGCAUCCUCACUGGGACUAUGUCACCAAUCUUUAGUAUCAUCUUUCUGUGUAGGUUCCACUCGGUCUCAUCUUCGUCCAGCUCUCCACCGUCACCGUGUGAUGUCGAUGUUGUUCCACCU